AAAUCAUGAAGAGGGCAUUUUCUAAGCAUUUUCUUAAAUCUCUCCCAACUUUUAUAAAUUGUUUGUCCAUCAAAUUAGGGAAAAAAUAUGGUAUCAUUUCUAUGUUU